UACGAGGGGGGCAAGCGUUGUUCGGAUUCAUUGGGCGUAAAGGGUGCGUAGGCGGCGCGGUAAGUCGGGUGUGAAAUCUCGGAGCUUAACUCCGAAACUGCAUUCGAUACUGCCGUGCUUGAGGACUGGAGAGGAGACUGGAAUUUACGGUGUAGCGGUGAAAUGCGUAGAUAUCGUAAGGAAGACCAGUGGCGAAGGCGACUACCUGGCCUGUUCUUGACGCUGAGGCGCGAAAGCUAGGGGAGCAAACGGG
rnacentral:rRNA from 1 species